rnacentral:rRNA from 1 species
ACGAACGCUGGCGGCGUGCCUAAUACAUGCAAGUUGAGCGCUGAAGGUUGGUACUUGUACCAACUGGAUGAGCAGCGAACGGGUGAGUAACGCGUGGGGAAUCUGCCUUUGAGCGGGGGACAACAUUUGGAAACGAAUGCUAAUACCGCAUAAAAACUUUAAACACAAGUUUUAAGUUUGAAAGAUGCAAUUGCAUCACUCAAAGAUGAUCCCGCGUUGUAUUAGCUAGUUGGUGAGGUAAAGGCUCACCAAGGCGAUGAUACAUAGCCGACCUGAGAGGGUGAUCGGCCACAUUGGGACUGAGACACGGCCCAAACUCCUACGGGAGGCAGCAGUAGGGAAUCUUCGGCAAUGGACGAAAGUCUGACCGAGCAACGCCGCGUGAGUGAAGAAGGUUUUCGGAUCGUAAAACUCUGUUGGUAGAGAAGAACGUUGGUGAGAGUGGAAAGCUCAUCAAGUGACGGUAACUACCCAGAAAGGGACGGCUAACUACGUGC